rnacentral:sRNA from 4 species
AUAUCUCUCUGUACGGGAAGGAUGAGAAGCUUCGACUAAGGUUCGAUUCGAGCGUCAGCGAGAAAGCGUUGCCGCAGGCAACGACCCGAA